UUAGAAUCUGAAAGUGGUAACCAAAUGGGUGAACAUUAUUAUUGCUCUGAAAGCAAGAUUCAUGCUGAUUGCACAUGUGGGCUUGACCAUGCAUUUCACUGUUCUUACAUAACUCUAGAAGAAAGACACCAAAUGGUGUUGAAAGGGAGACUUGGCCUUCAAAGAUCACUUGCACUGCACCCUAAACCAUUUGCAAAUUUGAAAAAAGAAGAUUUGAAAGUGAAAGUUAUGGCAAAAGGAUUACAAGUUGAUGUUUCAGCGGUUAACGCACGGAGAUUUGAAGCUGAAAGAACAGCGCGCGCAACUAACUUCUGCCUCAACGUCACAAAGGAAAACUGACAUUGGAGAAGUUGUUGAGUGCAGCAGCGCAGUGCGGUGAUAAAAAAAAA